rnacentral:misc_RNA from 1 species
AUGAAGAACGCAGCGAAAUGCGAUAAGUAAUGUGAAUUGCAGAAUUCAGUGAAUCAUCGAAUCUUUGAACGCACAUUGCGCCCCCUGGUAUUCCGGGGGGCAUGCCUGUCCGAGCGUCAUUACAACCCUCAAGCUCAGCUUGGUGUUGGGCCCCGCCGCCCCGGCGGGCCCUAAAGUCAGUGGCGGUGCCGUCCGGCUCCGAGCGUAGUAAUUCUUCUCGCUCUGGAGGUCCGGUCGUGUGCUCGCCAGCAACCCCCAAUUUUUUUCAGGUUGACCUCGGAUCAGGUAGGGAUACCCGCUGAACUUAAGCAUAUCAAUAAGCGGAGGA